rnacentral:rRNA from 1 species
UGGGGAAUAUUGGACAAUGGGCGAAAGCCUGAUCCAGCCAUGCCGCGUGAGUGAUGAAGGCCUUMGGGUUGUAAAGCUCUUUUACCCGGGAAGAWAAUGACGGUACCGGGAGAAUAAGCCCCGGAUAACUCCGUGCCARCAGCCGCGGUAAUACGGGUGCCAG